AUUCAGUGAGCCUACCCAUACGUGUUUAUUUUACUGAAGCGGUUAAAAAUCCAGGUAAAGAGAGUCAAAAUUGCUGCUAAUAUACACCUAGGUAUUUAUAUAUUGUACAUAAUGCCUUUGUCUUAAAACCACUUUCUGCUUUCCAAGGUAGAACAUUGUCCAAAGAAAAUCGUUUCUCGUCUCUAGGAGAUGGGCAGGGAACCCGGGCCGUUACUAAUGAUUGCUUCUGAAGAGCUCCUAGUGAAGAAAAGUUGAGAAAGGAUCGACUUUGAAGCACUGUGUCGGGGGCCCCAGGGGCUCAGUGGCAGCUGCGGGGACCAGUGCUGUGAGGCCUGGCUUGGGAACUGCCGGGACAGGCGACCACAUCCGUCUUGCGCACACGCCCGGCCCGGCUCCGUGUAGCCACUGCAGGGAGCAGCCCCGCGGUGGCCUUCCAAGCUUUCUCUCCGAGCCCAGACAGUGCCACCAGACUAGGAUUUGAGGAUCGCAGAGGCCCGGUCCGGGGACUGGGCAAGCUGCCUGGGCGGCUUCGGGCGCUCCGGGACCAGCGGGACACUAGCCGCCCAUCUCCAUAGCUGCACUUGUCGGUUCUCAUUGUCAAGCGCUCUUUGGCGGUUGUCACUUCUUCACCUUCUCAUCUCUGGAGCUUUUUUCCAGUGCCCUUUACCUGCCUCGAUCCUCACAUCUCCCUAACUGGGGAACUGAGCUGGUGUUGUCACCACCUCCGUUUUACAGACGACACCCACCAAAGCUGCAUAGCGGAGGGAGGCCGGGCCCAAGUUGGAUGCGAACAAGCCCAGGGCUGAGGGAUCCCGGCUUGCUGGUUCUUCUCCUCUGCGUUUCCUAAGGAGGAAACCCUCACCCUGCAUUGAUCUGGCUUGUCAGGGUAAUUAAGGAAGAGCGAAAAAGAAGACAGUGUUGCAGGAUAAAAUUGUUCGGCUUGGCGAUCUAUACUGCUGUGGAGAAAUGAGUCCAUCUCUACCUCAUUUGGCAUUGAGGGAGCUCGUCAGCCACCACCCGCAAUCAGACACGCAAUCAGCAACUCCCUUGCACAAAGGAAGGGCUCAAUGACGAGUGGUUUGACCGCAACAACCCCACCCUGCCCGGCCGCGGCCCACUCAGCUAACAUCUCUGGGAAGGAAAUCGAUGGCAGUGUCCUUUCGGCCCCAUCAGGCCACAAUGGGUCCCAACGUGUUCAUUCUGAACAGCAGGGAGGGGCCGCAGCUGUCCACAGCUGCCCAGGCUUCAUUCCCAAGAGCAGAUGUGUCCCUGCCCCCACUGGUGUCAAGAAUGCCCCCCCCCCCAAGCAAACCGAGUGUCUGGUCUUCUGUACCUGAGGAAAAGCUCCCGAAUUCGUGGGAGGUCACUAGUGGACUAGAGUUUUACCGCUCAGGGGACAGGGUGCAGGGGAGUGAGGAAAUGCACUGCCUUAUUCCUCCCGUGGAGUAACCCCCAAGGUUUCUUAUCCAAGGCAAGGAAUAUACAUUUUUUUUUUUUGUCAUGCUCUUCUAUCCAAAAAUAUACUGUUAAAGGCAGGAGAUUUAGGGAGGUGAGCCCUGAGAGAGGUGCCGAAGUCUGGUUUUGCUCAUUGGGUAAAUGUCACGCAAAUAAAUGGCAGCUGCCCAUUUUCGUUCUUUCUUCUGGAA